rnacentral:rRNA from 1 species
AUUGAACGCUGGCGGCAUGCCUUACACAUGCAAGUCGAACGGCAGCACGGGAGCAAUCCUGGUGGCGAGUGGCGAACGGGUGAGUAAUAUAUCGGAACGUGCCCAGUAGUGGGGGAUAACUGCUCGAAAGAGCAGCUAAUACCGCAUACGACCUGAGGGUGAAAGGGGGGGAUCGCAAGACCUCUCGCUAUUGGAGCGGCCGAUAUCAGAUUAGCUAGUUGGUGGGGUAAAGGCCUACCAAGGCAACGAUCUGUAGUUGGUCUGAGAGGACGACCAGCCACACUGGGACUGAGACACGGCCCAGACUCCUACGGGAGGCAGCAGUGGGGAAUUUUGGACAAUGGGCGCAAGCCUGAUCCAGCAAUGCCGCGUGCAGGAAGAAGGCCUUCGGGUUGUAAACUGCUUUUGUCAGGGAAGAAAUCCUCUAGGUUAAUACCCUUGGGGGGAUGACGGUACCUGAAGAAGAAGCACCGGCUAACUCUGUGCCAGCAGCCGCGGUAACAC